UUUUCACCAGCUGAAAGUCCUACUCUGGAAAAACUGGUUAAGUGCUUACAGGCAACCGGUAAGUCAAAAUAACAAGUAUUAUUAUUAUUGCCAUUUAUAUAGCGCCAACAGAUUCCGUAGCGCUUAAUAUUUUUAUGUUUAUUAAUAUGAUAAAUUCAUAUGUAACUUGUGCCCGCGACAUUCAUAUUUUAAGUUGUGUUUUAUUUUAUUUAUUACAUAAAUAUCCGCAUUUAUAUAGUAUGAACAUAUUCCUUAGAGCUUAAAACUAAAGGUAUUUAGAGGUGAAUAUGUAUCAUUAAGUGUAUUGACAGGGACACUCUGUCUGUCUGUCUGUCUAUCUAUCUGUCUGUCAUCUGUCUGUGUUCAGAGUGGAUUAUGCGAUACUACAUAUCAAACUCAAAUGUUACUUAUCCCAGUUAUUAAAUGGUGAUGGAUUUAAGUGCACCUACCUAGCACAUGGUAGGAUAUUGAUAACAUUUAUUAUCUUAACCCUGAACCCCAUAACUUACCAAACACACUAACGUUAAUACUAACGAUAAUCAGCCAUGUAAAUAUCCUUUUCCUACAUUUUCACUAAGCAACAGAUAACUAUUUCUAAUUGCCUUCCUGAACAUUUGUCCCAUGUGUGAUCGUUAUCUCAGGUGCACAUGCUUUCUAGCUCAAGUGCCAACAAUUCUGUGUUAACAUUGCAUCUAUCAAAUGAAUGUGACAGAGCAAUUUUAGUAUGGUGUAUGCCAGACAUGCAAAGGGUUAAUGCAAAUUAGCUAGUGGGGUAAAGACAUUAUUGCAAUUCUUAGGUGUAUGCAGCAUAUUCCAUUAGCACGUGCAUCGAGAGACCAUUACCGUUAACAAAUUCAGUAUUACUCAAUCGGGUUAUGACAACCAGGUGUACGCAAAGAUAUCUAUAACGAUUUUUUCAUAGCAAGCUAGCCUAAACUCAUGGAAAAGUGCCCAUAGGUAUAAAAACUGCGGACUGUGAGGGCAAUAUGUAUAAUUACAAUAAUGAAUAAAUAAAAUAAUAAAAUAAAUAAAAUAUUGAAACAAAAAUUUUAUAUAAAUUAUAUAUUCAUAUGUAAUUUAAUUCUAACUGUAUUUUGUUAUUAAUAUAUAUAUAUUGGUAACAAAAUACACUUACAAUGAGAUUCUAUAUAUAUCUAUUUAUAUAUAAAAUACAAAUAACCACAAAUAUAUAUAUAUAUUUAUAUAGAUAAAUACAUAUAAUUACAUAAAAGAUUACAUUAGUAUACACAUAGAAUUUAAAUACCUAUAAAUGCAUAUAUAUUAAAAUUCUACGUGUAUAUUUAAGUAGUCUUUUAACAUAAUUAUGUGAUUUGAUUAAUUAAAAUUUGAUUGACAUGCCUGACAACACAGGGAGAAAGUGCAGAGAAUUUAAUUUGCAAGCACUAUAUUUGACCCUGUAACUCUCCAAGACACCAUAAAACCUGUACAUAGGGGGUAAUGUUUUACUCGGGAGACUUCGCUGAACUCAAAUAUUAGUGUUUCAAACGGGUAAAUUGUAUUACAACGAUGAUAUUUUAAGUAAAAGUAAAAACGAACGGCACUUUUAUGGACUAUAUUAUUGUUGUAAUAUGUUUUACUGUUUUAAAACACUAAUAUUUGUGCUUAGUGAAGUCUCCUGAGAAUAACAGUAACACCCAUGUACAGGUUUUAUGGUAUUUUGGAAAGUUAGAGAGUCACAUAUAAGACUUGCAUUUCAUUUUUUUGACAUUGAAAUUUGCCAGAUUGGUUAUGUUGCUUUUGAGAGCGUAUGGUAGCCCAGGAAUGAGAAUUACCCCCAUGAUGGCAUACCAUUUGCAAAAGUAGACAACCCAAGGUAUUGCAAGUGGGGUAUGUCCAGUCUUUCUUAGUAGCCACUUAGUCACAAACAUUAGUUGUUUGCUUUUUUCACACAAAAACAAAUAUGAACACUAACUUUGGCCAGUGUUUGUGACUAAGUGGGUACUAAAAAAGACUAAACAUACCCCACUUUCAAUACCUUGGGUUGUCUUCUUUUUCAAAUGGUAUGCCAUUAAGGGGGUAAUUCUCAUUCCUGGGCUGCCACACCGUCUCAAAGGUAACAUUACUAAUCUGGUAAAUUUCAAUGUGAAAAUGGAAUGUUCUAUAUUUGACCCUGUAACUUUCCAAAACACCGUAAAACCUGCUAAUGGGGGGGUACUGUUGUACUCGUGAGACAUCACUGAUUAAAAAUAUGUUCAUUUUUUUGCAGUAAAACCUAGCAGUAUUAUGACAUUCACAACUAAAAUGUCAGACAGAAAUACAAAUUUAAAAAAAAAUCUUAUUUUCUCAUGUUUUUUUUAAUUUUAUUCAUAAUAAAUUAUGUUCCAUAUAUGAAUAGUUAAUGAUAAAUGAAAGCCCUGUUUCUCCUGAACAAAAUUAUAUAUAAUAAGUGUGGGUGCACUUAAUGUGACAGCGGUGAAUUACGGUUGAACAGACAUAUAGCGCAAAUUCCAGUUUUUGUUUUGUUUUGAUCAUUACCUUCAGGUUUUUUGCUGUAAACACUGUCUUUUCAGAGAAAAUGCAGUGUUUACAUUACAGCCUAGUGAUAACUUCACUGGUCACUCCUUAGAGAUCUUUCCUGGGUCAUGGCUGCCUAAAAUGCAUCCAAACAUUCAGUGUCUCCUCCCUCUGCAUGCAGACACUGAACUUUCCUCAUAGAGAUUAAUUGAUUCAAUUCAUCUCUAUGAGGAGAUGCUUAUUGGCCAGGGCUGUGUUUGAAUCAUGCUGGCUCUGCACCGAUCUGCCUCUUUGUCAGUCUCAGCCAAUCCUAUGGGGAAGCAUUGUGAUUGGAUCAGGCCACCACUUCUGAUGAUGUCAGCACACUGCUUGUUUUCCUGAGUCUAACAGCAUGCAGAGUUACAGCUUCAAGCUUGAAUACAGUAAGAUUUGUACUAUAUUUAUAGAGGCAUGAGGAGCCCAGGGGGGCUAGAUAGUGGUUUUAACACUAUAGGGUCAGGAGUACAUGUUUGACCAUAUAAUACUUGACCAUAUUAUUUCUAAUAGCCAGGUUCUAUAUUUGGAACAUCGCGCUAUACAUAGAUAUAUUUUUUCCAGUCAAUGCAGUAAGUUUCAUUCAUAUAAUUGAGACGGUCUGCAUAUUUCUUUGUUCUUGUGUUUAUAUUUGGGGUUAAGCCCCUCUGAGACAGCUGGAGUCUCAUACUGGUACGUUGGUCUCUGCGUGACCCCUGCAGCCACUGCCCCCCUUUCGGGGAGGUUUUGAGGUGGUGGGUGCGGCGGCUAUACAGGGACUUGGAACGUUGUGUUCCUUGCUCUCUUUUUUGUACAUGUUUGUGUUCCUUACCCUAUAGUGAUCCUUUAAAAACUAUUUUUAGUUUAGAUAAAUUAGCUCGGCAAACAUAAUUUCAGCCAUGAUGGAUUUUUACUAAAUUAUGCUUUCUCUACAUAGCUCAUAUAAAAUAUGGUGGACAUUUUGAGCCAUGCAGAAGACUAAUAAACAGAUCUGUAAACUGCCCAGAAUAUACUUUUUUUCCUCUUUAUUUUUUAAUCUCUACAUUUGUGUUCCUCCUUCUAAUGCCCAAUUCAUCAAUCAUAAAAACCUCUUUUCUCUAACAUCCAUAUGUGUUUACCUUGCUCGUUUCCGUUUCUCCUGCCGUCCUUUGUAUUAUCUCUUGUUCUCUAUAUCUCAUUCAAUAUCUGAUUCAUACCAGGUUCUCUCAUAAAUUGCAGUUCUAUCUCCCUCUUUGUUUCAACUUUCUUCUCUCACCCUCUAUUACAUACCCAUUCUCCAACCUAUCAUUCUCUUAUUCGCCAUAUCAGUUCUAUUCUCUGAGCCUCUCUAUACCUUGAUCUCCUACUGUCAGUGACAGUCCCUUUCUCCAACCCAUCAUAUCAUUCUGCUUCUCUUACCCCAUGCCAAUUUUCUUCUCUCACUUUUAAUGUCCCUUCCACCAUUCUCCAUGUGAGUCUCUUCUCCCACACUCUUAAUGCCAGUCUCCUUCCACUGGCAUGGUGAUGUGUCUUUCCUGUCCUCAAGUCAAUUAUUUCCCCCAGAAAUGUUGCUUCCCCUGUAAGUUUAGUCCCCUCAGUUGCACUUUACUCUCCAUAUUAUCAUUAGCUCUCCCACUCAUUCCACUAAUCCAAUAUGUACUCACUCUUUCCAUGUGAAAAUCAUAUACCUCAGUCACAUUCUCUGUGUUAUCUUCCUAAUAAUCCUCCCCUUUUCACAUAGACUUCUCCAUAGUUUUGUGAUUUCUUGUUUCUUCAGUAGUGAAAGUAAGACCUGUGUCACAAGUUCCUUUUAUUGCCCAAAUGGGAGUGCUGGCUUUAUUUGUCCAUGCCAACAUGCAAUAUACGCAAUAUAUAUGUAAUAUGUAAUAUACAUAUAUGUAUUUAAUAUAUAUUUAAGCCUGCAGUAUUCAUUACUACCUCUGUUCUGUAGGCAUACACUAGGUGCCACUUCAGAAGCUUCGGAAAACCAGUGUGUGCAACUAUACCAUCGCUUCACCAUCUCUGUCUGAUACUUUAUAUUUAUUAAAUGCAAACAGAGUAAAUUAAACAUAAAGAGAUAAAACAGAAAAUUGUGAUCUCUAGUGCACACAGGGUUGUUUGCUACAGUAAGAAUUCCAGGUAAUUCAAAUAUUUAGGCCAAAAUAGCAAUAUUAGAAAUAUUCUCCAAAUCAGUUCUAUUUACAGUGUGACUAAAUUGUCCAUAAAGGAACACUAUAGAGUGUUAGGAAUACAAACACUAUAGCUCUAGAGCUAUUUAGGCCCCAAACCCUCCUGUCAGAUGACUGAAAAAAGGAAUUUUACUCACUUUUUUUUCAGCACCACGAGAGUCUCGUCGUGGCUGACCCUAUCCAGCAAUGCCUGUUUGGCUGAGAUCAUCAAACUUGGCUGAGUUUAUUGCACAUUCAUGUCAAGGAAGCAAGUCUUGUGACUGAGUUGCUGCCAUUAGAGGUGUUCCUAGGCAGUAAUGUAUGUUCACAUUAAAAAGCCUGCAGGGACAGUCUGUAGACACCAGAACAACUACAUUAAGCUGUAGUUGUUCUUGUGAUUAUAGUAUCACUUUAAAUCGGAAAUUCACCCUGAUUUCAUGGAUAUAUAUUAGACAAUACAAAAUCAGUAAAUCCUCACUAUAGUAACAUUCUUGAAUGCUGCUACAAUAUAUCAGUCAGCUACUCCCAUAUAAGACUCAGAAAUCAAAUACACAUGUAAUACAAAAUAUAGCAGAGGUCUUUCAAAUCAAAAUUAUGUAUAUAGUGCAGACACUAGUGAAGGAAUAGAUUAUUUUACUAUUAAUUUAGCCUAUAUAGUAUAUAUUAUAAAAUGCUGUUACAUUUACUUAUUUAAUUAUUUUAAAUGGAUUCUGUAGUGUUAGGAAAAAAAACCCUUUAGUGCAGGCCCUGAACAGAUUUUCUUGGAAUCAAGGAGGCAGCCAAAAAAAGUUAGGAGCCAGGUUUUUUGUAACAAAAAGCUUUAUUUUCAGAGACAAAAAUACAAUUCUUAAAGGGACACUAUAGUCACAGAACCACUACAACUUAAUGCAGUGGUUCUUGUGUCUAUAGCAGGCCUGCACAACCUGUGUUCCACAGCUUUUUUUUUUUUUAAUGAAACAGCCUAUGCUCAUGUUUUUUUCAUGAAACAGAUAGAAAAGGGAUCAUGAGAGUUGUAGUUCAAAACAUCAAGGGGGAUGCAGGUUGUGCAGACCUGGUCUAUAGCCUUUCCUUGCAGGCUUUUUAAUGUAAACACUGUAUUUACAUUGCUGCCAAGUAACACCUCUAGUGACCAUCACUCAGAUGGCCACUAGAGGUGAUUCCUAGUCCAGUGCUGCACAGUGUGUAGCAAUGACUUUCAGCAUCUCCACGCUCUGCAUGGAGAUGCUGAAUGUUCCCCUUGAUUUAGUGCACCUCUAUAAGGAGAUGCUGAAUAGCCCAUGUGCGACAGCCUCACAAUGCUUUGAUAUGUUUGGUUUGGCUGAGAUCAUCAAGAUUGAUUAUCUCAGCCAUUGAGGUGGGGCCAGCCAUGGCUAGACCGGAACGGCGUGGGAAAAAAGGUGAGUAAAAUCACCUUUCCCGUGCGAUCGGAAGACAAGUCAGCUAAGCAGACAUGCACAUUCCCAGACAGACACACACACUCCCAGACAUACACACACACUCCCAGACAUACACACACACUCUCAGACACCGCUCUCCAUUUGCCGGUUUUCACCCGGCGCCUGCAUGCUCCAUCAUCACCUCAGCUGACUGGCUCACAAAUCCCAGGCAUUUUCUCGAGCCCUUUUUUAGUCACUUACCUAAUUCAAGCUCAGACUAACAGCGCUGGGCCAGCCCUCCUCCACCUCUGAUGGAAAAGAGAAGGGACACAAUAAGCUGAAGUGGUCUGGGUCCCUAUAAUGCCCCUUUAAGGAAGUAGUAUUUUUCUCUUUGCCUCUGCAUUGAUUUAUCAAAAUAAUUAGGGCAAAUUAGCCACUGUCCAGAAUUAAUAACACAAAACAAAAAAGUAAUGUUAAUAAAUAUAGAUAUUACAUCCAAAAUUUAAUUUUAUAAUUGCAAUAUUUAUCUGAGGAAAUUUUAAUCUUUUCAAUUUUUAUUCGCUAAAGUUCAAAAUAGCUGAAAUGGAAAAAAUCUGAUGUAUUUUUAUAGUAAAUGUGGCCACCCUAAUAAACAAUCAGACAUAAAAACAAACUCACUGGUCUGCAUCAUGCACGACACCAUUCUAAGUAAUUAAUGUUGAAACGUCAUCACUUCAUGCAAAUCUACCUACUCACUAACCUAUCACUGACAUCAAUGAAAAUGCAGGAUUCUAUUUAGUAGACUUAUUCACUAAAUUGAGAAUUCAAAGUAAAUAUCAACUUUAAAAGGACGACAUAGUCACCAAAACAACUUUAGCUUAAUGUCUCUUCAAUUCAAGAGUUUAAUCACUUUUGUUUCUGUUUUUUUACUUCUUUGAUUAAUUUUCAAUUAGAUGUUCAUUUGCUUUAGAAGUUUUUAUCUCCUGCUCUGUAAAUUUAAAUUAGCAAUUACUAUUUCAUGUAUAGAUCAUUAUUCAAGAACACAAAAACUAAAUAAAUAGUUUUACAGAUAAUUUUAUUUGUGCAUUAAUCAUUGAACAUCUGUUUUGAGAAUAAGGUUUAAGACAAGGUGCAGUAUUGCUUGUCAUAGAAUAUUUCAGACAGGGUUAGGAAACUUAGUACAACAGCCAAGAAUUUCAUAUAUAUAUAUAUAUAUAUAUAUAUAUAUAUAUAUAUAUAUAUAUAUAUAUAUAUAGCAGCUCCUUGUUUCUUUUGGAAUUUGACAAUGUUUUGGAGUAAAUGCAACAUGGGUGUAAGAGUCUUAAAGUUUCUUUAUUUAAGAUAAAACUGCACCCACCACACCAGAUUGUGAGGCAUCAACUUCUAUGAUAAAGGGUAAUGAUAUGUCAGGGUGAACUAAAAUGGGAGCUAUGGAAAAAAAGUGUUUCAUUCUUCAAAAGUUUCCAACGAUAUACGAGUCCAAUUGUGAGUGUUGGUGCCCUUUUUAUCAUUUGUGUUAUAGGGGCGAUUAUUGUAGAAAAGUUAUUGAUGAAUUUCUAUAAUAAUUAUAAAACUCUAUAAAGCAUUGAAUAGUUUUCAGUCCCUGAGGAAGUGGGCAUGAACAUAUGGCCUCUAGCUUAGUAGGAUCCAUACAAAGCCCUGUUUCAGAGAUGACACACGAUCACAUGGACAGAAUAGCCGUCUAUAGCAGUGCCAGCAGGGGGAGUGCCUGGAAUGACAGGUAGCCACCCUGGUGCCUGUAAUAAAGUUAAAUAAAGUUUAAAAUUAAAUAAUAUAUACUUAGAUCAUAUAUAUAUAUAUAUAUAUAUACACACACACAUACACAUACAUGUCUAAGUGUAUUUUAAUAUUAUAUAUAUAUAUAUAUAUAUAUAUAUUAAUAUCAAAAUACACAUAGAAUGAUAAAUAUAUAUGUAUACAUUACUAUAUGAAUGAAAAUAUAUAUAGUAGAGAGCACUCUGGAGUCUUGAUAAAGUAAAUUCAAACUGCUGCUUUAUUAAGCAAACACAGUGAUAAAAACAAUAGUCAACGUUUCAGUCUAUGACAAGACAGUCUUGAAAAGAGUCUGCAUAGGCUGAAACAUUGACUGUUGUGUUUAGCACUGUGUUUGCUUAAUAAAGCAGCAGUUUGAAUUUACUUUAUCAAGACUCCAGAGUGCUCUCUACUAGGUAUAUAUAUUUUGAUUGGAGAUUGUGCACUGGAGCACAAAAAGACCGGGAACAUCGAGUGCUGGGACCUGGAAAUAUAUAUAUAUAUAUAUAUAUUCUACCUAUAUAUUCAUGUAAUAUUUUUACAUAAUUAGGUCAUUUUAUUAAUUACAAUUUGUGGGACCUGCCUGACAACCCAGGCCGAAAGUCCAUAGAAUUCAAUUUGCUAGCACUAUAUUUAACCCUGUAACUUUCACCAUAAAACCUGUACAUGGAGGGUAUUGUUUUACUCGGGAGACUUCACUGAACACAAAUAUUAGUGUUUCAAAACAUGUAUUACAACGUUGAUAUCGUCAGUGAAAAUUAAGUUUUUUGCAUUUUUCACACACAAACGGCACUUACACUGACGAUAUAAUUGUUGUGAUACGUUUUACGGUUUUGAAACACUAAUAUUUGUGUUCUGCGAAGUCUCCAGAGUAUAACAGUACCCCUCAUGUACAGAUUUUAUGGUGUUUUCAGAAGUUACAGAGUCAAAUAUAAGGCUUGUGUUUCAGUUUUUUCACAUUGAAACUCGCCAGACUGGUUAUGUUGUUUUGAGACCGUAUGGUAGCCCAGGUGGCAUACCAUUUGCAAAAGUAGAUAACCCAAGGUAUUGCAAAUGGGAAAUGUCCAGUCUUUUUAGUAGCCACUGGUCAAAGUUAGUGUUAAUAUUUGUUUGUGUGCAAAUGGUAUGUCAUCAUGGAGGUUAUUUUUAAUCCUGGGCUACCAUGCGGUCUCAAAGGCAAUGUAACCAAUUUGGCAAAUUUCAAUGUGAAAAAACUGAAAAAUGUAACAUGCUAUAUUUGACCCUAUAACUUUCCAAAACACCAUAAAACCUGUACAUAGGGGGUACUGUUUUACAUGUGAGACACAUAAGUGUACUUUAUUGCAGUAAAAGCAAAUCGUAUUAUGACAUUCACAAUAAAAUUUCUUAAUUUCUCCCAUUUUUUAUAUUUUAUUCAUAUUAAAUUAUGUUUUAUAGCUAAAUAUUUGAUGUUAAAUGAAAGCCCAAUUUCUCCUGAAUAAAAUGAUAUAUAAUAAGUGUGGGUGCACUUAAUAUAAAAGAGGUGAAUUACGGUUGAACAGACGGCACAAUUAUCUCCCAAAUCAUGCAUGGAAGCACAUUCUAACUAUGCGUUGCAGCUCAGUAUUAUGGUAAGUCACUAAGCAUCAUAAUGUGGUGAACUAAUCCUGAAUAACUGAGCUGUAACAGUAGCUGAGCUGGAUUUUCCAAAACAGCUAUUUUAGCCUAAGUUUUGCCAUAUGCAUUUACUGAAAUUCUUUGUUUAGUGAAAAACUUGUAUGUUAUAUGGUUAACUGAGAAUCAUAGGUAAUGAAGUCCACAACAGGGUUGUCAAAAAAAUAAAAUAAAAAAAGGUUAAGAAAAAAGAAAAAAAACGACCAUAAACUUGCAUAUGCCUCUGCUUCUCAAAGAUCCCUAUUGACGUUUAAUUGUUAUCACAUUUAACAAGGUCUCACGAUAGAGGAAAGACAAAUAUUUUGAUAAAGUAUUUUACUGUAAUACAAGAAACAUUGUUUUCACCAGGCAAAGCAGCAGCCAUAAAAGAAUAAGACUGAAAACGAAAAAAAAACCUCCUUAGAAUGCACACUCAUUCAUACUUUAUAACAGAGAACGCAUUAUUCUAGCAAUUGUACAUAGUAAAGCAAGUCUGACUUUUGAAAUAAAAGUAUUUAAAAUAAAAAGUUGACCAAUUAUUGAACGCUGAGCCCAAACAUAAUCUUAUUCACUAAUAAUAUUUUAUGGCAAGCUGACUUGAUGUUAAGCCGUGUUGAACAGACCUUGAAAACUCGCGAUGUGGAGUGAUUGUUAAAGCGACACCUUAAACACUUUGGCUUUCUGGAAUGCUUUAGAUGUGAAGAGUGUGCCCUGCUUGUUUCUUUCAUUUUACAAAAACUGCAUAUUUUAAUAAAAACUGACACUUUUAUAAAUUAUCCUUUUUAGAUGGUUUUCAAGAAGAGAACAGGUCCUGUUACUUCCUGAUUUUUUUAGCUCGGUUUAGCAAAACUCAAGAGGCAAACAAUUGUUUAGAGAUCCUGUCUUGCAAGAAGCCUGCAAUUAUACAGCCACAGAAAGUCUGGGCUGGGGAAGAAGGGGAGGGCUUGCAAAUGCUUCAGGCAUGAGAUCUGCAGCUUUUGCAAGCUAUUUGUACAUAUACACCAAUGAAAAAAUGCAUAAUUCAAUGCAUAGAUGUUUUCAUUUGUGGUAUAUCUAUUAUGCAGUGAUUGUUAUUUUUUAUUUGAGUGGUAGAGUAUAAUUUUUAAGGAAAAUUGUCAUCCCUAUAUUCUUUUCCCUCUCUUCAAGUUUUAAGAGUAAUCCAGACAUGGACCCCUUGCUCAAGUUGCCUAGAGGAGUAUCGGCUAUAACUCACAGAUGAUGUCUAACAAGACCAAAACAAUUGUCUGGGGUUGCUAUAUCUCUCAUGCAGACAGAGCCUACCUGCAUUUCAGGUCUGGACCACUCUUUUGGGUGGAAGCAGUCUGAUAUGCAAACAGCCAAGGGUCUCUUUGUAAUGGCCCAAAAUGAGCUAAAAUUAGCUUGAUGUCGGAGCAGGGACCAAACAAAGGGCAAGCUCCUUGUGCUUUUGUCCGUUCUCAUUAUUCUAUUGCACUCUGUUUUUUUGCCUUCCAUUUUUAUAAUGAUUGAAAAUACAUGAAUAUAUGUGAUAUAUACUUCUGCAUUAUUUGGUAAUAUAUUCAUAUAAAUACCUUUUCAGUGAUCGCAUUUGCCAAGACCAGGCACAAUUUGAAUAUCUGGAUCUAUGUAAACAUUUUGACAUCACUGGAAUGUUAAUGCACCAGAAUUUGUGAAUGCACACCUGCUGUGAUUAUAUGCACUGGUUUUGGUGAGAUAGUCCAGUGAUAUAGUACCCUAUUGAGGGUAAGCCAGGAGACGGGGUAAAUAUUUCUAUUUUCUUAUACGUGUACAAAAUAAUACACACUGAGGCUCAAAUGCAUGUAUUAUUUUAGAUAAUAAUGAAAUACAAUGAAGAUGGCUAUACAAACAAUUAUAAUGCCUGGCUGACAACUAAACCCAACUCUGUUGUAAUAGUGGUUUAUGACUGUGUUUAGUUUGAAAUGGAUUGAACAGAACUUUGCAACUGACUCACCUUUGUGAAUGAGUUCUGGAAUUUUACCAUAUAACACCUAUUUUGUAACUCUGUAUUUUUUAAUAUUAUGUUUUAUUAUUUUGAUAGGUGCCAGCAUAUUCCACUAUGCUGCAAUAAAGAUAAAGGUAAAAGUACAUUAAAUACAAAGUGAAAAUGAUUUAAAAAAAAAAAUAUAUAUAUAUAUAUAUAUAUAUAUUUAUAUUUAUAUAUAUAUAUAUAUAUAUUAAAAACCAGGAUUAAAACUUAAUCCGUGAUUGCCAUGUCGGAUAGACGUGUUUAGGAAGAGCUCCUCACUUACUAUCCAUUAUUUGAGCUACGUUGCAGUUUUUUAGCUUUAUUUUUAAAUCAAAUAACAACUUACCAGACCUGGCUCGCUGUGAGGAUCGAUAUGGGCAACCACUCAUUAGUCCCUGGCAUGGACCUCCUGGCCUGGAGCUGCCAAUGUCUCUGAAAUUUAUUAUUUUUGGGCCCCUUUCCACCUCCUUUGGAUUAGUGGGACUUAUUCUGGUCCCCACCAGAGAGGCUUAUCUAAUUGCUGGGGGCUUGACACUUCUUGAUGGUGGUAGCUCUGCCGAGUAUCAAACGUAAAAAAAAUAGACAAAUUAGUGCUUUUUUUUUAAAUUAUUAUUCUCCUUCUCUUCUCUUUUCCUCUUUAUGCCUAUUUUUUCAAACCAUAUUUCUUUCCUCCCCCUUGUUCCUCUCGCUCACCUCUCCCUCUUUGCAGAGGCCACUGAUAGGAGACAAAAUGCCCAGACAGUUAACAUGGGUCUUGAGGCUUUUUCUUGCCCACACAACAACCUCAUAGUUCAAUCUCUGCCGGGGGAAUUCUGGGUAUUCAUAUGUGAAGCACGCACUUUGUCUUUGUACGGUCUCUCUACUAGUAAUAUAUUUAUGCGUUGCCUCACACAUUUCCUGCGUGUCUCUAAUGCCUUGCUGUCUUAUAUUCAUUUUGCAUUCACUUUGAAUUCCCAGAAACUCUCAUGUUUGUGAAUUACCCUGUACAGUGUCCUGGAUACCAUAUAUACAAAGUAAAUCAAUAUUACAGUUUAAAAGGGCCACCUAUCACACCUCUCUCCAGUGUUCUAGUAUAUGGCUAGCAACCUUCUCACUUCCUUACAAAUUGGAAAAUCUAAAGAACCUGAUAUAUCUAGCAUGUGACUAUUAAGUAUCCAUAUUUAGUACUAGCUGCCAUAUAUUUAUUUAAACAGAUAGGCAGAUAGUGCUAUUUGUUUAUUUUAAAGUAAUGCGUUUUUAAUAUUGAUAAAGUUAGGACUUUGGCACUUUUCUAGCUAUAGGCAAUAUAGAGUUUUAAGGUUAAAGGGACACUCCAAACAAAUAAAGCUUGCUGAAGUGUUUCAUGUGUUUGGAACCUGUCACAUCUAUGACAGUUUAGAAAAGUGACGAUUUCACUUUUAUAUUUGGGGGCCUGAAUCACCUAACUGGCUGUCCAUCACACAGCAUGUUUUAUUCUUCGCCUGUUUAGCUACACAGAGCUAAAGGAAGCAACUGGUUCAUUGUGCUAGCACGUUUCUGCCUUCCCCCGCAAUACAACUUAUUGAGAAGCAUUGGAAAUCCGCAAGCAUGCAUGAGUGAGCACCCACUCAUGGCUUCUUGGGAUUGAAAUAUUCCCCAGCACAGAAUGAAAGUCCGUGUUGGAAAAAGGAAAGGUCUUGCAAACAUCUGCAGCUUUUGAAAAUUGUCUUUCAAUAUACCCCAAAGAAAAACUGUAGAAAUAAAUAGAUGCAUGCUUUCUUUGGGGGUUUAUGUACUAAAUUGUUUUGUUUUUUUAAAUAUAUGCCUUUUCCUUUAAAAAAAAAAAGAAAAAAGUGAGAAAUCCAUAAAUUAAAAAAAUUAAAUAAAAACAACCCUCCCAAAGAGAAUCAAGGAAAGUGAUAUCACAGUUAUUGGUCCUAUAGCCUUAUAUUUUGUAGUAAACAUAUACUAAGUUAUCUCUAAAUGUAUCUUGUUCAUGCUUCAUAUUGUGCCUCUUUUAUUAGCCCGUUAUGACUCGUAUACUGUAUUAUCUACUAUGUUAAACUCUCUUUAUUUCAAUAAAAUUAAUAUUCAAAACAAAAAAAUAAUGAGCAAAAUCAAAUUUGCUUUGUGUUUUGGCAAUCAAAUCGGGAUAUAAGCUUAAUAAAGCCACCUCUGGAGUACAGGGCAAAUGUACCUCUACAACCAAAUAUACGUAUUGGAUAAGGUUCUCCAUAGAUUGAUAUUGCGAAAUACAAUAGAGUUCCAUUCAGUGUCUGUAAACUUUCCAAAAUUUUCUCCCAAGCCAAUGUAUAUGAAAGCGGGAAGUUGUAAACAGAUUCUUGAAUCAUAAUGUAAUAAAUAGAAGUGAAUACUUUGCCAGUAGGUAGUUUUUUGUGUUUUUUUUUUAAAUUAACAUGUCUAAAGAUGUGAGUGGGGCCACUUUAGUUCCUGUCAUUCGAGGCAUGAAGUGCAUCCAAUGCUGAAUUUAGAGAAACUUCAAAAAUAUUUAUUGGAAACAGAGUACUUGGAACUUAGUUGGGAGGAGGUCAUAAUAGACCCUUUUCCAAAUCGGUGGUUAAUCAAAUGUUUUCCUGCUGUAUGGCAGUGUCUUAUCUCAUGACCAGGAAUGAGUAUUUGCAAAGUCUAUAGUAGUAUUGCUUUUGGAUAGUUAAUUGGGGUAUUGAAUAUGCUUUGUAGGGAUUUCUAUCUGUAUAGAGUUUGUUUGUGAAGUAAUUAUGAAAAUGUGAAGUGAAUUAGUGAUCAGUUUAUAUUACCAGAGAAAGUGGGACAAUCUAUGACAUGAAAAAUCAUCUAUACCCACCCACAUUUAAUGAUAUUUAAAAAAAAAAAAACAUUUUUAGUGGAGGCUGGGUUAGAGUCUAGUGGGAAUUGAAAGGCUGUUUCAUAAGAAUGUUGCUACCCUAGUAAAAUAUUAAUGGUAAUUUUCUCAUUGGUCUCAGUCAUGCCAGCUCAGACUAGGCAUAGUGAAGAGCAUGAGUAUAGAAAACAUGUUUGGGAAUACAGCUGUUAAUCUAAAAAUCAAGAAGCAAUAUCAUAGUGUACAUUAGAACCAGAUGGUACACUGCUCAGAUAGGGAUAUACUCACAAAAUAAAUUAUGGCACUCUCACCUCUGGAUGCCUCCCCUUUGAUUUCUGAGGGCGUCAUCUAGUGAUCCUUCGGCUCUGGAUCAUAAACACCUCUUCCAGGAUGAUUACCAUGACUCAGAAUGGUGUGCAAAAUACUGGUUUAUUGACAAAUGAAAUGUAUUUAUAAAAACAUGUCAAAUAAAAAAAAUUAAAUUGGUCUUACAUGUUUCAUCCAAUACUGGACUUCUUCAGGGACCCAAAUUGGUUCUAUAAUAAAUCAGAAUGCAAAACAGAAAAUCAACAGAAAAUAAAAAUCAAAAAUUUCUGAUAAGGGAAGAAGCAUUCUAAUGAGGAGCAUAAUGGGAGGGAGAUAAUAAAAUGAGAACACUAACAUUAAAUAGUAAAACCUCUGUAAGAAAAACAUCAAGCCACAUAGCAAGAUAAUAAUAUUAUUGCUGUAUCAUGAAGAUAACUUAUUGAAAUUAAAGCUAGAUUUCAUGAGACAGUGCGCAAAACACACUGCUUACACAGUCAAUAAAAGUUCUCAUGUUUAAAGCCAAGUACAUAUACAAAGGUGGUGUAUAUUGUGUUAUGUAUGGAACUUGUGAUAUUUACAAUUGAUAUUGAUAAUGUAUUUUAACAGCACUCCUUGUAAUGAAAUCUUAAAUUUUAUGUUUCAUUUUAUUCUAUUUCAGGUGUGGUCUGUUGUACUCAUCGUAUGGCCUGUGGUCAUAUUCAUUAUACUAGCAAUCACUCGUCCCAAAUUCCCUCCUGUGAACGUUUCAAACUGUAAGUAAUACCCUUUUACGAGAUACAUUUUCCUUGCAAGAUAUUGUUGGUGAGAGUAAUAGAUAACCUUAAUCUUAUGUAGAUUUGGGAGCAUAGCAAAUUCAAAGUGUCACGAAAGCAUUGUCAUUCUAAAGUAUUAGUCAUACUUAAAGGAACAUUCCGAGCACCAAAUCCACUACUUCCCACUCCCAGAUGGUGAUCUCAGCCAAUGAGCGCAGCCCUGCUUAUCUCCGUCCCAGCAGGACCCAUGUGAGUUGUCAAACCAUUCUAAAAUGCCAGGGCACACAUGGCACUGUAAAUAGUAAAUACUACAGCUGGCUGUAGUAGCUAGGAUACUUUGAGUAUUCCUUUUAAGGGAAACAUAUGGGGUAUAAAUGUAUGGGGUAUGUGCAGGUGUGCAUAUUUUAUUUUAUUUUAUUUCUAAAAUAUUUUACCAGGAAAGAUACAUUGAGAUUUCUCUCAUUUUCAAGGAUGUCCUGGGUCCACAAAACAUUGCAUUGUUACAUUAGGGUACAAUAAAAUACAAAUACAAUACAAAUACAAAAUACAAAAACAAUAUUUAUACACACUAUACAAAAUUUACCAUAGAACAGGUAGGAAAUAUAUAAUCACCCAUGACAUGUGCAUUCUGUUUUGAGGUAUGUAGAGAGGGAUCUCUUAAAGGACAUUAGGCUUGGGGAAGAUUUUAAAGUGUGCGAGAGGUCGUUCCACAAUUGCGGUGCUCUGAGAAGGAGGAUCGGGCCGCUUUCUUUUUGUAUUGAUGUAGGCUAAAUAAAGUGCUGGUACUGGAUCGGAGGUUAUAGGAGAUGGGAAAAGCUGAGGAGAGCAUUUUGCUCAAGUAGGGUGGGAGUUUCCCAGAAAAGCUCUUAAACACAAGGAUGGAAAGAUGAAGGGUGCAUUUUAUUGCGUUUAUUAAUGUGGGAUUGCGGUGCAGAUGCAUAUACUACAUCCCCAUAAUCAAUGAUUGGCAUCAGCAUUUGCUGUACAAUAUUUUCCAUUACUGUAGGGCUUAGGCAGGAUUUGUUUCUGUACAGGGCACAUAGUUUUGGAUAAAGUUUAGAUGCAAGUUUUUCUAUGUGGAUUCCAAAAGAUAGAUUGGGGUCUACCAACAUACCCAAGUAUUUGAAAGAGUGGACUGCGGUUAGUGUGCCAUUUGAAUUUGUUUUGAUGGAUAGGUGGGUAUUAUGUAAUUUGUGUAAUUUAGGUACUGUUCCAAAGAUCAUUGUGACAGUUCUGUCAGUGUUUAGGAAGAGUUUGUUUUUUGCGAUCCACUUUUCUACCUCUGUAAACUGGUCUUGGAGCACAGCCUCAAGUGCUACUGUGUGAUUUCUUGAAUCUGCUGGCUUAGAAUGGGUUAAGUACAUUGUCGUACAGCGGCUACUACAAGGCUGUGCAAAGUGCUGUUUGGCAACUGAAGGUCUUGAUAACUUAGAACUUUUUUUGAGGUGGUUCAUCAGGUGGAUGCCCUCUUGCCUCAGAACGUCCUGCCUUCCUGACCUUCCAUGACAUGCCUUCUCCUUUUUACCUGACUGUUGCUUCCAGUCCAAAAAUAACUUCUGGUUCUAUUGGAUAACUUCCUGCUGUUUGCGAUGCUGUCUCUGAGACUAAAGCCAAUUCGCCUGUUGCCACAUACAUUGCGUAAUAAUAUAGUUUUUGGGUUCACCUGAGACAACUAGGAACUCACAGUUUGCUUUGUUCCACACUGAGCCAUCUGUAUAAUCUGCAUAUUCUGUGUUCCUAGUACUUUUGUAUACUCUUUCAGCUCUCAAGGAGGGCUAGAACCCCUCGGUCUUGUGGUGGACCACCUACGUCUCUUAUAGGAAUAUUAGUAAAAACUUUGUAUUUUUCCUUGCAUUCUUAUUUAACCUUUUCCUGCUUUUCAUGUUUAAAUAUAAUAAAGUCUGUUUUGUACUUAUUCCUUUAAUCUCAGGAGGGUAGUAAGUAUGAGUUCAGUGGUAGACAAAAUUACUGCUUUUUAAAAACCCUUUAAAAUCAGAUUUUAUCCAGUAAACAUUUAUUAAGGAUAGCUAUCCAUUUGUGGCAAACAUGGUUUUAAAUGGACAAUAAUAAUUAUAUUUCUAAUUCUGAAACCUCCAGGAAUGUGUAAAUUGCAAUUGUAAUCAGAAAGACAUAUAUAUAAAUCCAAGUCAAUCUCAUGUUUACAAAGUCUUUUCAGGUAAAUAUCUUUUAAAGAAGUAUUCUCUGGUCAUUCUGUGCUAGUGGUAAUCCAAUGGUUUUUCUCAGCAUCCGUCUAUGCUUGUUUAGCAAGAGCCUUUGUUAAAAAUCCUCUAGAGAUAAAAGCUAAGGACCAAGUCCUGUAAAUCUCUAUUAAAGCAGUUAUCUUGCAAUGAAUGGGCUUUUGCCAAAGUCCCAAAUGUAUACAACUAGUUAAUCUUGGACUUGAGGAUGGUUUGUGAAUAUUAAGUGCCUCGUGCUCUAUCCUCCAAAAGUAUACAAUCCAAGAAAGAAUGGCACUCCAAGGACUCCUUAGUGCAGUUAACGUGUUUUUCUUAAUUGGUCAGAGUUUCACUUUGAAUCAAUAAACCUUCAUCGUGACAAUUUUACAAGAACCAUAAACUCUUGUUUAUACUUAAGCUCUUCCUGGUAGCCUGUGCACGUCUAAAAUGUAGCAUGUCCUGCGUGUGUACCCAGGUGCACCCCCAGGAAGCCUUCCCAGUAGCAUGGUCCAAAGGUAUUUAUAAUAGAAACCAGACGAUCUCAGAAUAAAAACAUUGUAUAUGUAAAAACCCAGCACAAAGUGAAGAAAAAGAACAUCCCACCUAUGGACGCAAAAUUAAUAGAACUCAAUAACAUGAUAAGAGUUGACAUAUUCACAUAUUAACACUAUAGGGUCAGGAAUACAUGUUUGUGUUCCAUUAAAAGAACUAUCUCUAUAGCUGUGGGACAACUGGGGUUAGACAAUCAAUGAUAUAUUGUAGGUCACACUUGUGCUGUAUAAAGUACUGAGAAAAUAUCGGGCAACUUACCAUUAGACUUCAACUAUAACUAUGAUGUAUAGAGCUAAAUACAAUGCAGAUAGUGAAACAAGGAAAUGGGCUGAGACCUUCACACUAGGGCACAAGGACUGUUGAUCCUCCAGCUAAUAAAAAGAGUGCUGUGAAAAAAAAGAUAAACACUGAAUUGGUAAACAAAUAAACAAACAAAAAAACAACAACAUCCAGGACAGGCUGUAUGAUACUGCUAAUCAUGUAGCUUGGUGCAAGCCUGAACAUCUUUUCAGGAGUCGGUCUGAAAAUACAUCCAUUUUAAAAAAAAAUAUUUUCCUGUAGUUGCAGGAAAACCCCAGAAUGGAACAAAAACCCAGAGGGCCAGGUUAACAGAGUAAAUACAGACUGAUAAAGACAUAAGAGCAUAUAUUAAGUAUAUGAAUAUUAUGCAAAAAGUAUAGUGUUGGAUAGAGAGGUUGGUAAAAGAUGUUGAAUACAGAUAAACCACAAGGUGGUGUUGCUACAUUAUUUCAAUAGGCGCCAGUAUUAAGACAUUGGCACAGAAUAAACUAUUUAAAACAGUUUAAAGCAUUUUGUUAUUGUUGAAAACACAUGCAUAGCAAUGUUUUAGUAAUCCAUUAGUGGCAAUUAUAUUUAAAGGGACAUUCUACUGCCCAAACACAAAAUAAAUACAAAUCACUGUUUAUUAUAUAUAAGUUAAAAAUUGCAUGCAUUUAAUAUAAGCAAUUUUCCAUUGCUGGUAUAUAUAUAAAAACAGCAUGCAAAACCUGCAGAUCUCUUGUCUGCAGCCUUGCAAACCCUCCCCUUUCAACCAUUCCAAUAUUGCUGUGGUUGUCCAAUCACAGACCUCCCAAUGCAGCUCAAUGAGAAGUCUUUGCAAGGCAGGUGCUCUGAGUAAUUGCUGCCUCUUGAGUUCAGAUGCAUUUGCUAACAAAACCAGGAAAUAACAGGAUCGGUUGUCUGCUUGAUUUUUUAAAAAGGACACACUCUUCACUUAGAAAGCUUUUCAGCAAGCUAACGUGCCUAAGGGGUCUGAAGUGUCCCUUUAAGGAAAAGAUGAAAAAGUCCAGGACGAGAUGUUCAAUAACUUAAACCAAAAAGUUGCUGCAACAGUUUUUUCCACAUUCACUUCCCCUUUAAAGGGGGGAACGUGGUCAACUGCUGUAAAUUUUAAAGCAAGGAUUUGAUAACAUUUUUCAAAGAAAUGCUUGGAGACAGGUUGAUCAGACUGCCCAUUCUCGUAGGCUAGCCUGAUAAAUUACAUGUGUUGGCAGACCCUUGGCAUAUCUGAGUCUGUUUUACUCAGAUAUGCCAAGCCACAUGGGCAAGUAAGUUUAUAAAUGUCAAAAUCUAUUAUGCAUGUUACUCAAUGUUUUAUUUAAUAUUUUUUUGCCAUUGUGGGGUAGUUGGAGCACUUCUUUGGUACCAUGCUUACAGAACUUACAGCCCAGGCAGCAAACACAUCCUAUGUUCUGGUUUUAGCUUUUUUGAUUGUAAAAAUGUACAGAGUUGGCACACACCAACAAGUCAUUAAGGGUUUUGCCUGCCUUAUAGCACAACAAAAUGAAGUUGUUUGCUAACGUGUGCCAAUUCUUUUUUUUUUUUUUUAUAUAUAUAUUUUGAAAAUAGAAAGGCAUAACACUGAGUCAGUAAUACAUAUCAAAAAAAAAUCUGGCAAUUGUUACACAGGUCAUGGAAGGUUACAGAGUUGAUACAUAGUGAAAUGUAGCGAAACAAUAGACAGUGAGUCAAUACGGAGCAAACCAUAGUACGGGUGUGAGCAUCAGGUAGGUACUGCACAUUUGAAUAGUAUAUCGAUUCAAAUAGGUACCUAAGUCAACUGGGUAGAUCAAUAUGUACAGAGCACCAGCAGAGAGGUAAAACACAUGUCCUGUGUAUCUAAGUAUGCCUUUCUGCACUUGCUUUAUAAUAAGGGGGUAGCAUGAAGUGUAUGACACUGUGGUGACCCGCAAAUGGCUGGAUCCGCUUCUAGGCUGCCCAUGUCGGCGUUAUAUCAAAACAUAAAGUAUUAUCUCAUGGCUUAACGAUCCAGAGUAUCUUGGCCAGGUAGACUGUAUGUAGUAUGGUGAGAAUACUGUAGCAUUCAAAACAGAGUCAGCGCUAUCCAGCCGAACUCCAUCGACUUGUACUGUGUCUGCUAAGUGAUAGUCGAGAGGGGAACCCAGAGUAAGGAGGAAGGGAAUUUAGGGAAGGCCUAGUACAUCCCCUUGUUCGCGUGACUCAAGAAACCUGACUUAUGGUCAACAUGGGUCAAUCGUAAUAUGGGUUAGUUCUUGCAUAAACUUUACCCAUGGCUCCCAUAUAUCACUGUAUAGGGUAUAUCUGUGAGAGAUAUAGGCCUUUAUUUCCUUCAUGAUUUUAAGUGUGACUACCUUCUGAAUCCAUUCUCUAAUGGAUGGAACGUUGGGAUUUAUCAGGAAAAUGUAAUGUGUGUGGAGUGUGUGGCACAGAGACAUGAUCUAUACACCAAAAUGGCUUUUUAAAGCUAAAGUUGUUUUAAAGCCUGUAGUAUCCCUAUAAACUGAGUUGUUCUGUGUUGUGUUGUAGCAAAUAUAGUAGCAAGUACUUGGGUGGCUUCAGAUAAAAACUGUGAGGAUACAAAAGUGUGUUUCUGUCCAUGAGUUUACUGUACAAUGUAUAAGACAGGGUAUCACAUGUCAUGGAAAUUCCAACAUUGAGUAAGUCCACUGAUAUGAGUCAGCAUAUAUCUGUGGUAAAUGUCAGAAAAUCCUACCUCUAUGCCCUUUAUGGACAAUGUGCCUUCUUCUUCAUGGUUAUGCCAUGUUUGGUAUUGUGUGGCAUUAGUUCAUUACAGGGUUUGUAAAUCCCAAAGGAUUUACUUAUUUAUCUAUUUCUCUAAAAUUCAUUAAAAAAUAUUUUUCAUGUUAAAUUGACACUACAGGCACCCAGGGCACUUUAUCUAAUUGAAGUGGUCAGGAUGCAAUGCCCCUGUCCCCUUAACAACCACUAGAUGUGCUUCUUGCAUUAACUCAGCGAAACAACGUUAGAUGUCCUCACGCUUUGCAUUCGGACAUCUAGCGUCUCCAAAAUCUCCAUAGGAAAGUAUUGAUUCAAUACCCAUGUACCUCAGUGCUGGAAUCAAGAUAAGUGUUAAAAAAGUUUUUAACUUUUUCAACAACAAAUAGGGGGGAGUGGAAGUGGGGUGGUGCGGAGUGAGAGAAACAGUUUCGUAUUCCUAACACUAAAGUGUUCUUUUAAAAUUCUUGCUUCAAGCUGUUGAACCUGUGUUACACAAAAAAAAUGUUGUUAAAUUAUAGAAUAUUAGUUCAGGUUCAACAUUAACAUUUCUCGCACUUGAAAGAGAUUUGUAUGUCUGCUUCAUCUGGCUGGAAACCUACUUGACAAAUUGGUUCAAACAAGUGCCAAAAAUGUUAACUCAACUGGCUGUUACCAGAAUAAUAUUUUGCAGUGCAAGCAAUUUUUCAUGUUAUAAUUAGACUAUUUUAUGUAUAAACCUUUCUGAACCUUUAUGAAACCUGCUGAUAUACAACAGAGAAUUUCUGUUUUCUCUGAAUGUAUUAUAGCAAACGGCCCUUUUAUCUUUUAGCAUAUAUUCUAUUUAUGGAAGACUUGUUAGGGCAUGGUACUUACGCAUGAUAAUCUCUGUUUCUUGCCAUCAGCAACAACAAGGUAAAAGGAGGGUGUUACCAUCAAGACUGCCGAGCAUCAUUGCUCUCUAAGACACUCAUUUAUUUUGAUACGUCAAUAUUAUCCUGUCUUCUUAAUCUUUAGCAAAUAAAGCAGUAGCAGUCAGUGAUCCAAAUCUCCCUGGAGGUGUAUUUUCUAGAAGUUAGGGUUACUGUUGGACAUGUGUCAAUGCCUUCCAGAAAUAGUAUUUCAAAACCUUUCUACUAACUGUGAACUUGUACAACCGGUAAAACAGCAAUAUGUUUUAUGAACCAUCUAGGCGUGUAUACAUUUCAUAGACUUCCUAAAUGAUCCCUUUUCAUGUGCUAUAUUCUUAAUACAGUUAUAUAGAUGUCCUCACAAUUGCUAUUAAAGUGAAAUCUGGGGAAGUGUAAUACAAUAUGUUUCAAUUAUCAUGUAAUAGUCCAGUGAUUGCAAAACGUGCUAUUCUUCAUAUUUUGUAUUUCCACAAAAGGCAAGGUUGAAACUGAGAGCAUUUGUUGAAGAAAAGUAAGGAAAUACACUUUUGGUGUAUAACAUCAAAGCGUUUAUUCAUUGCAACAGCAAACUGGAGACUUGCACAAUUUAGUCCAAAUACGUGAACGACAAAAUUAAGUUAGAAACUUUUAGACAUUUUAAAUUUUUAGACAUUUUCAACUUUUUAGACAUAUACACUUUCAAAGUAGCUACAUUUUGAAAGUGAGUUAUCAAUACUACUACAUCUCAUCUUUACUUUGUCUCCCAUUGCCAAUCCAACAUGCACAUUGUAUGAAACAUUAGGCCAUGACUAUAUUUCAAGAUUACAGUUUGUGGUUAACAAACAAUCCCUUAUGUAUUUCUAUGUACUAAAAUGCUUCUGUCUCAGUGGGUAUUUUAAGAGAAUCUGUAACAAGUUGGAAUUCUAAAAUUAAGUACAAAUUAAGAUAAAAAAACAGUAAGAUUGUGGAACAGAUCAGUCUGAAAAACAGGAGCUGGGUGACUGCUUAUACCACAAACACCUGUCGUGUCUCAUAGGAUAAGAUUAUAACCCAUAGACUAGAAUAGGAGCUUCCUGAUUGGUGGAGUCACUUCCUGGUGAGGGGAGGUUCUGUCUGAAGCUGCAGUCAGCUUUUUCUUAGCUAUGCAGCUUCAGGUUUUUUUUAAAAUUUUAUUAGUUUAUUUUGCAUAUUUUAAUACACUUUCCGUGUAAUGAAAGUAUAUAUUAUCAAUAUACAUAGUUUAAAAUGGGUCCUUUUUGAUCAUUAUUUCUCUGUUACAUAUUUUAAAACUAAAAUGAUUAUGGCUGGUAUUGAUGACCAGCUGUGUCCGGCCAAUGACCCAUAAAAGGAGUUGAAUAAAGAUCAGUGUUGUAAGAGGUUUGAUUUUGAAUGGAAGGCUUAGCAUUAACAAGGAAUCCUCAGGCAAAGUCAACAAAGAGUAGAAUUGCACAAAGAGUAGACCUGCAGCUGGGGUUAGAAUAGCCUGGCACAAAGAUCAGGUUGCCUUUUUUAGCCAAGUAUUUUGCACUUUCUUAUAUAUGGGAUUUAAAAAAUAGAUCAAACCAAAACCAUCACUCUUCCUCACCUGACAUUAUGUCCUUUUCAUCAUUGAAAGUAAUUAUGAAAAACUAGAUAACUGGCUUUAAAACAAAAAAAAAACAAAAAAAAACAUGGUGGCUGGUGAUUAAUUACAGGCUUUCUAACAACAUUAAGUAAAUAACAGAUUAUUCUUGUGUUUGCUUUAAAAUUUGUCUAAGAAGACUUGCCAAAUUGUCUAUUUGUCGUUGCUGCUAUUAACAUUAAGAUGAAGGCUUGUUGUAACUGAAAACUAGUGCUAUCUUUAGCAGCAUUUUACCUGCACAGUAGCUUACCAGUAAAUAAUGUAUUUUUUCAUUUAGAGAGUAAUGUAAAGGAAAUGCAAUUAGAUCGAUGCAUUAUGUAAGUCAAGGGGCAAAUAUAUAUCAUAAAUAUAUUUUGACCUUAAUGUAUUUUUCUUAUCCCUCUGUUAACAUUUAUAAGUAUUUACAACAGGGUCCACUCUAUCAUUUUCCUAGCAAGAGGCAUAUACUGUAUUAAAUCUUUGGUUUCCAACCUUAAUUUGACCAAAGCAAAUUUUAAUGAGAGAAAGACUUCCAAGGCACAUUUACUUUUUUUCAAAAAUGAUUUUUACCUUCAUCAGUACUUUUAUAUUGUAUAAAAAGUGCAUACAUACUUUUAGCUUAAUUGAUUUUUAAUUAAUUAAUUGCCAGAUGGGAAUCCCAACUUUGAUAGCGAGAUGUAUUUAAAACAACACAUUUUAGGGAUUGUGUUUGGCCUAUUCCAGUCCUGAAGUCAAUGGAUUCACUGCACACUUUGAGGUGGCCUGAACUGAGACACACCAGUUUACCUGAUUAUACUGGAGAAAACCAAUGCAGUUAAUAUAACUACAAUCCUUUUGUUAUCUCUUCUUCUUCCACAAUAGCAAUAUGGCUAGCGGGGGCCUCGAGGAGCCCUGUUUUGGGUCAAAAUGCUCCAAAACAGUUCCUUUUCAUACAUACCUCCCAAUAACUUAAAUAUUUGAUAUGACUUUGUGCUGUUUAACCCUCCCCUUUUUUCCUGUUUCCCAUAUUCCUGAACAAGACAUAUUGUUCUUUAAAGAGGCUCUGUCACCCCCUACCCCUAAAAAAUAAGCAUUUUAUAAAGAUAAUCUUCCUAAAAUGCUCAUACUGAAUAUACUGAAAUACUGAUAUUUCAAUGCAGUCAAAAGAUAUCAUAACACAAAGUAGAGGACUAUGAUUUCGUAAGGAGUUUUCCUACGCUUGACGAAGUUUGACAAAAUGGUGGAGCUACAUGUGUCAAGCCCCAGGUUCUGGGGAAACAGGCUUGGUCUAUGGAAGCUUCAGUGGUCUUUCAGGAUUUUCCAGAGGACACCAGUGUUGUACUCUUGCCUAUGCGCGUGAUUAAAGUAUCGAUGUCAGCUCCUGGCAGACGAAGCACUAGAAGCACUAGAAGUUAAAGAGGAUCCCAUGAAAGAAGAUGGCAGCGGCACAAGGGAAAAGUUCAGAUAAGUAAAACUCACAUUUCCCUGCACACAUCAAUCACCGCACAGUUACCAUCAGAGUGUUUUUGCGAAAUAUACAAAGUGACAGGGCAGCUCUAAAAUAUAAUAAUAAUAAUAAACAAAUUAAAUUUAAAAAAAUCACAUGAUGUUAUUACUAUAACAACUGCAAGGAGCUGUAAUGGUUACGGUGCUAAAUCUGCUCCUUUAAAUUUCAAAUAGGCAUGAAACAGUGUUGCACAACCCAUUCUCUUAUUAUUUUAUUCAUUGCUUCCAGGUAAUGGAACUAUAGCAAACAUACCUAGCUAUUAUCAUGAUAAUCUGCAGUUACACGCGUGUUAACAUUAAUCAUUGGUCACAAAUGUGUUGCAAAAAUACUAGGUAGGUCAGUCAAUACUAGUUUUUAUCUUGGCUUCAACUUGUUAUUUCUAUGUGACGUUUCAUUAAGGAGGUGAAAGUGUAAGAACAAUCCAUGUGCAAAUAUGCUCAAAAAGUAACAAAAGUGUUUGCCAAGUAUUUUAAAGUGUUAAGGUUACACUACAUGGCGCGCAAUACGUAUUAAACAACCUCGGGGACGUUUUACAUAACAGAACAAAGGCGUUUUCCAUUUUUCUUCCGUCUGAUGCAAUUUUGCUUCACUGAUAAAACGCUAAGUAAAGUUUACACAUGGUAGCAUAUCAUAGCAAGACAUUUAGAAAAGUAUGUGCAUGCAGAAAAAGAACAAAAAAAUACAAUAUUAAAAUCACCAAUCCAGCCAUUUACUUUUCAAUAUAUUUAAAAUGUCACCACGGAAUAGCACGUUCUAUUAUUUCACUUCCCAGGAUUUUUAAUAUUAUGCAUGCCUUUUCCUAAAUUUAACAAAUAUAUAUUUAUGAAGUGUAAAUAACAAACUUAAAUGGAGAAAUCCACACAUUUGACUGGCAAUUUAGCCCCCUGUUAGUCAUUAUUAUAAACUCAGUCUGUUGGACCUGCCAGGCAGCAAAACACAGAGAAGGAGAAAUUAAACAAUGUUUCCCUGUAAUGUUUGCCCAGGCCUUGCCUUAUUCUGAACUGGAUUAUAGUAUAAUUUACUAAAUCUUUAGUAUAAAUUUAAAAGAAAAUGAAGCAUCAGAUAAAAAAGGGUUAACACAAGUAAACAUUAUUCCCAAUACUUUUUUUCCAUGGUGUAGAUUCCAUAAAGGUGACAGUUUGCCUCUAUAGUUGUUGUGAGGAUUUUGGAGAGAAAAUGAUGAAACAAGGAAAUAUGAAAAAUUAUGAGAUUAGAAAACAAGAGGACAGGAACUUCAUCUUUUAUGACUGGGCUAAAGCAGUUUGUGCUGCUUUGGGUGUGAAGACGGAGUGAAUAAAUUGUUGGCAUUUUCUCUGGCUAUUUGUAUCCAGUGCCCUUUUCUGUUAAUUUGUCUGUAAAAUAUUUAAAAUAUUAAUUUUGUGUCUCUUCUUCACUUUCAAUCCAAUAAAUUUUGAUAUUGAUGGAUAAUUGUUUUGUCAUGUCCUUCUACUUAGAAUUGUAACAUGUAUGUGAGUUACAGCUAGUAAGUGCAUGUUCACCACCUAGGACUGGAAUGCUGUGCAGCCACUGCUAGAGUUGUAAAUGGGAUUACAGUUAAUAUGCGAGCAUCGUUUUCUGUUGAAACCGGUAAAUAGAAAGCCAGUCUAGCCUGUGGGACAGGACUAUAAUUAGAUGUAUAUACGCAAUUUGCAUCUUAAUGACAAAACACAUGCAUUCCUCUGAGACAUGGCCAGGCGACACUCCUCUAAAUGAAUGCACCAGGCUGUCAUUAUGUCAUUUUUUUAUCUCAUGCUUUGUAUGGGAAAAACCCAUCAUCAGUCAUUAUUUUAAGUUUGAAUGUUAGAGCUUUUCCUCUUUGCAUAAUGUUCUAUCUUUUAUCUUUACGCUCUUUCUGGAUAUAGUUGCUUUCACAACUGUGUAAUUAGUUUGAUUGUUAGUAUUUUAUUUUUACUCUUGCAUAUUGUUUUCUGUCCCUUAAUAUUUUUCUUUAUUUAUAUUUAUAUUUUUUCGGAAUUCCAUAAUAACUAAAAAAUAUGUAAUUUGGUAGAAUGCACAGUAAGACAAUUAUAGCUUCAAAAUGUAUUUUAUCUAUAAUAGAUGAAAUUAGUCUUAUAAUAUAUUUUUUAUUAUAUAUUAAUGCACACACAGCGCCUGCACACACACAGCGCCUUCACACACAGCACCUACACACACACACAGCACCCUCACACACAGCAGUGUGUGUGUGUGUGUGUAUGUAUGUGUAUGUGUACAUAUGUGUAUAUAUAUAUAUAUAUAUAUAUAUAUAUAUACGCGGCGUGUGUAUUUCUGCUUUAUGGUGCACACCCUUAUACAAUAGGCUGUGCACGCCUAUGUCAAUACAUCUCUAUGAGGAGAUGAUGAUUGGCGCAGUAUGACGUUUUGCAGUGCAUGAACGUUUUGGGAUUAGAUGGAAUAAGAUCAUCAGGAUUGAUGAUAUCAGCCAUGGAGGCAGAGCCCGUCAGGGCCAGUUGCAGUGAGACCUCUGCAGCUUGGUAAAAAAGGUAAGUAACCUUUUUACUUAGAUCGGAGGGGGGGCGAUCACCUAAGCAGCCACUUCAGGACUAUAGUAAAAAGCUGUGGAAUUUGUUGGCGCUAUAUAAAUAAUAACAUAAAUAAUUACAUAAUAAUACUAUAGUGUCAGGAAUAUUUGUUUGUGUGUUUGCUUGAAGCAUUUUGUGAGGAAGUGAUGUUGCAGUUUUAUUUUUAUGACACUUCAAAUACUUUUGAUCAUGAUUACUAGAUCAAUGUUUGAAGAACCUUUAGGUUUCUCUCCCAAUGCCAUACUUCCUAUUAAAGGGAAUAGUCAUAACACAUAUCAGUUGCUUGUCAUCUGGUUUUUCUAUAUUCUGUAGUUGGAAGCAAACUUAAUCUAUUGCUUGUCAUAUUUGUAUGUGCCUUGCCCCUCCCUACCUCCCCCUCUGCUCCUUCCCCCCCCCCCCCCAUUCCUGUUUUGUUGUUUUCCCAACAGGGUGUUGUCCCAUUGUUCUAGGAACUCCUCCAGACCAAUUCAUACUGGCUGCCCUGACACUUUCCUAAAUCUCUCAAAUGGUCCACAGUCCUUGCCAUUGUCUGCCCCCACUCUUCCUUGUAAACACUGUGCUGCAUUCACACUAAUUGUCAUUUAAUCAUUUAUUCAAGCUUUGCAGUGUGAUUGGUUGCUAUCCCAAGUAAAUACAAAAGGAAUUGGGGGCACACCUGGAACAUGCAUUUUGCAGGAAUGGUGCUGCUGUAGUGACCAAAAUGUAUACAUAAUACAGAUUAAGGAACAGCGCAAACAUAAAAAUACAUUUUAUAAUGCUACAUAAAACCCCCUAUCUCAGCGAGCAAAUAUAGGUAUGUAGCGGAUGGCACUCUGGCUGUCCUUAAAAGACUAUGGGAAUCCUGCAAUUCGUGUGUUAAUUCUGUUUUGUAAUUCCCUGUAACUAGCAUUCGUAUGUUUGUUCGGUAGUUUCCAUAUGUAUUUCAUACGAAUGGAAACUACCGAACUAAUAGACCUCCCCAGAGUGAAGUGUGUUCCCAAUUAAGUGUCGAACAUGUGUUAACCGCAGACUAAUAGGUGGAUUAUUGCUGUAUCUGGGUGUCCGCCAUUCGGCAUACAAACACGUGGCGGCGGCCAUCUUAAGCACGAAAGACUCAGCGGUGUUUGGUCGUCGAGUGUCUGGAACUCAAAUCGGACACUCGAUUACCCGAACACCGCUGACACCUCCAGAGCUCCAUAACUCCCGAACGGGAAGAUGAAUCAGCCUCCCGUUCGGUGAGUUUGGAGUACCGAACAAGGGCAUUCAGGCGAAUGACAGUUUAAUCAUGGAUGGCAUGUAUUUCAAUGUAUUUUACCUCCCGAACGGAGACCAACCGCAGGGCCAAAACGCAUGGAACCCAUUUUGGAUACCACCUCGUGUGCGGUCGGUCAAAUUUCUCCCUCCACCUAACUCCCGAACCCCUGGUCAGAUCUGGGUGAAUUUUGGAUAUGUUAGUCACCCGGAUCAGGGCUACCAGGGGGUACCCAAAGUAUGGGUGUACCUGCUAAUCUUGGGGUACAUCCAGAACUUGGGGAAAACUGUAACCUGUAUAAUGGGAUUAGGUGUCAUACUAAGGGGAGGAGAGGUGUGGGAGGUAACUGCUAUUUCAUUGGGUACUGUAUUAAUGAAUGUGAAUCCCUCCCUUGCAUGGGAGAAAUGCUUAAAAGGAGGUUGUGUGGAAUAAACAUCAGUUCUGCUCCUGAUGCUGUGUGUCGUCCAGUCAUUGGGAUCUGUAUGGGGAUAUUCGUGGAUUGCUUUGCUUAUUGGAAUUAUUGCUUCAUGGGACUUUUCAUCACUUGUUCCUGAGCCUCACUGGGAUCUUAGUGGAGUUAACCUGUGAAAUACCAGGCCUCCGCUACAAGGUAUUCCAUGAAUUUCGGCCAAGCUUCAUCUGUCAAAAAGAUUGGCCUCACAUUUGACUUUUGAAUACUUUGGUAUACAGAGGAGUUCAUGGUCAACUCAAUAACUUCAAGGUGCCCAGGUCCUGUGAAUGCAAAACAAGCCCAAAUUUUCACCCCUCCAUCACUGUGCUUGAUAGUUUUUAUGAGGAGUUUGUGAUAAUAUGCUGUGUUUCGUUUUCAGCAAAAGUGGCGCUCUAAAUUAUGACCAAGCAUCUCCACUUCGGUCUCGUCUGUCCAAAGGACAUUGUUCCAGAAGUCUUGUGAUUUGUUCAGAUGCAACUUUGCCAACCUAAGCCAUGCUGCCAUGUUGUUUUUAGAGGCUUUCUCAUGGCAAUCCUUGUAAACAAGCCAUACUUAUUCAGUCUAUUUCUAAUUGUGCUGUCAUAAACUUUAACAUUUAACAUGCUAACUAUGGCCUGAAGAAUCUGAGAAAUCUGAGAAUCUGAGUAACUCUUGUUUUUUUGCAAUUUCGCUGAGCAUUGCAUGGUAUGACCUUGGGUUAAAUUUGCUGGGACUUCAACUCCUGGGAAUACUGGCAAAAUGUUUUCCACUUUUGAAUGAUCUUUCUCACUGUAGAAUGAUGGACUUUAAAUUGUUUAGAAAUGGCCAUAUAAACCUUUCCCAGUUUGAUGGGCAGCAACAACUGCUUCUCUAAGGUCAGUGCUGGUGUCUUGAUUUAUUUAUUUAUAAAAUAUUUUACCAGGAAAGAUACAUUGAGAUUUCUCUCGUUUUCAAGUAUGUCCUGGGUCCACAAAACAUUGCAUUGAUACAAUAAAAUACAAAAACAAUAUUAAUACACAACAUAUACAAAAUUUAACAUAGAACAGGUAGGAAAUAUAUAAUCAACCAUGACACGUGCAUUCUGUUUUGAGGUAUGCAGAGAGGGAUCUCUUAAAGGACUUUAGGCUUGGGAAAGAUUUGAAAGUGUGUGGAAGGUCGUUCCAUAAUUGUGAUGCUUUGUCGGCAGAACGAGUUAUACAAUGUAUUGAGUUUUCUUGACAUUGUGUUAACACAUACCUAAACCCAUUUCUGAAUAUAAAAAACUAUUAUAUUUUUAACACGCAUUGCAUCUGAUUUCAUCCCUUGCCCAUUUGUGGUCAUUUACAAAUUUUUCUUUACAUUUCAAAGUAUAAUUACUAUAUUUUUGUAAAGCAAUCUGGUGAAAGGCAUUAAUUAAAGGGACACUAUAGUCACUAGAACAACUACAGCUUAUUGAAUUUGUUCUGGUGAGUGGAAUCAUUUCCUUCAGGUUUUUUGCUGUAAACACUGUCUUUUCAGAGAAAAUGCAGUGUUUACAUUACAGCCUAGUGAUAACUUCACUGGCCACUCCUCAGAUGGCUGUUAGAAAUCCUUCCUGGGUCAUGGCUGCCUAAAAUGCAUCCAAACAUUUAGUGUCUCCUCCCUCUGCAUGCAGACAUGCCUACGGCAGCACAAAACCAGGAUACACCACUGACUGUACCCAUGCUUAAGAAGACAAGCUAGAACAGUGGCUUUAAUAAAUUCUGGAUCUGCUUUAGGCAAACCAAGCAAAUCGAGACUGAUUGGUUCGUCUCCAUUAACACGAUCUUGAAUAUAAACAAUUAACACUGAAUGUGAAGAAACUGUAGUAGACCCAUCAAUAUAAGAAAAUCUUAAAACCAAAAAAAGGCCAAUUAUUUAUAAAAAGGAAUAUAAACAUAUAUAUCAAAAGAGCAGCACCUAAACAAGUGUAAUGACCCAUCAAUAUAUACAGAUUUUUUUGGAGCCUGUUCAAUAAUUGUCUUGCAAAGCUUUUUUUCUCAUUUCUCUGGCAAUGCAAUCUAUUAUUUGAGCAGCUGUAUACUCACUAAGGAGAAUACAUCCUAAGUCUGCACUAUUUGCAACUUGAAAACUGAUAUGCUCUCAAAGUCAGUAAAAAGGCAUUUUUUUUACACACAAAAGUAGGCAGUGCAAAACAGUUUAGUGGUGGACUAAAAUGUAUGCUUCUGCUGUUUUGAAAUGUUGGACUGCAGUGUCUCCUUUCUAGAUACAGUUUGGAUAUGUCCUGCUUUGUACUUGUGGUUCUGAAAUCUUCUGUACAUUGAUGUUUUUACGCAGUGAGGUCAACAUAUCUUUUCUUGUUUUGCCAUAUAAUGAGUAAUCAUACCAGUGCUCCGUUCUUUGGAAACAGAGUAACCAUAUAAAACAGACAUUCCAAGUUGUUUAACCUCACAACACACAUUGCAUCCUAAAAGGCCGUUUUCUAUGAACAGCCAAAGGUACUUUUUCAAGAUUGUAGCGACUGAUUUUGGUCCUAAUAUUCUUGAGCACCCAUUUUCUUGAGCAUGUAUGUUACUGGCUCGAGUAUAUUUGCAUGAUGUGUUGCAGGUAUCCCAGAGUGGAGCUUCUAAAAAAUAGAUCCUCUCAGGAAUACGAAAGCCACAGAUUAAAAAUAAAAUAUCCAAAUUUAUCGUAAUAACAAACAUAAAACUCUUACAUGAAAGUAAGGUGUCAUAUUUAAUAUUCCUUUGGAUAAGAUAGACGCACAAUGCAUUUUGACAGUCCAUGAUCAUCAUCAGGUGUUUUUUUAUUCUAAUUUUAAUCCUGGAAGGAUUACUUGUAGAAGCUCCAUUCUGGGAUACCUACCACACAUUAUGCAAAUUUACUUGAUCCAUUGACAUACAGGUUUAUGAAAAUGUGAGUGUAAUACAAUUAAGAUAUAUUGACAUUCAUGCUGUUCGGACGGGUGCUGCAUGAGCUCUGGUCCACACCGUCUACGUUUCAGGUAAUACAAGCGGCUUGUAAACUAUCACAUUUACUACGUGCACUAUCCACAUCGUGGAUUUGUUCAAAACCCAAACCCGACACUGCCGGGGGCCCAUAGUGCUACAUUGCGGCCUAUCAGCACUGAAAUUGGGAGGAAGACGCUCCUCUCACUCCUAUACUCCUCAUGCAGCUCAGCUGAACUCCUACCCCUCUCCCCCUUAGACAUCAGUCAUUGCCAGACAAGUUUUAUCAACUUAAAACGCAUUCCCAACAAGCUUACCAGAAUAGAGCUUUGCUCUGCCAGCACACCGCAACUCCACAGACCAAUGCCUGUAGAGAAUGACUGGAACAUGCUUCAAGAAGGAGUCGAAAGAAGCAAGGAACCUAGGGCAGGAAAGUCCCUUCCAAGAAGUAAGUCCGUGCAGACGCCUCCACGGCUACCUCCUAGUCAGUCUAGCAUGAAAAUCAGUAGAAGCCUUCCUAAAUUACAGCGUUUGCGGACACAGAAGAACAAAUGCCAGACUCUGCAAUCUAUACCCAGACUCUCAAGCUAUCCCCAGAAAAAAAAGGCUUUGUAAGAGACAGUCUUUAUUUCCGAGAUGCAGAGAAACUAGCCCAUGGGCAGUCUUGGGUCAGGGAGAGUACUCACUCCUGGAACCCUCUUGCGAAUACUUAUAAGAAUAUCCUGACAACUCAUCAAUCAGACCACCUACAUGGUGGGGGUCGGCUGACUUGGGCCUUAGGACUGCUACCUGACUUAUGAACUUCUAAGUAGAGAGCGGAUGCCAAUUUGAUAUCUAUGUCUCAACUGGUUUUAUAUGUGCUGACUUUUAUGUAUUUUUUGUGGUGCAGCGGCAUAGGCCUUGUCUCAGUGGUUUUUACGCAUCUGUUUAUCAUCAUACCACUCUUGGGCAAGGUGCCCAUCUUCAUACUUCUGUUGGAUAAACAUGAUUUCAAUUUCAGUGAUUCAUAUACAUGUUCUAUACAACUAAGCUGACUCUACAUAUCUUGAUAAUCCUCUUCCAUACCUUUAACACUAGCAUUAUUGACAUGUAUUAUUGGUUUAUUUCUUGUCAUUACUUAUCACAUAGAAUGUGCGUGUGUUAUUUGAAUUCAUUUUAUUUUAAAAGAGGUUUGCCUAAUCUCUCAGCAACCUUGCUUGAGCAAUGAUCUCACAUCACUUUAGUGUACCAGUCGAUACCCAUGUGCUGUUAUGUUAUUGCCUAUAUUGCAUUUGUACUGCUACUGUACUGUUGUACUUAACGUUUAACCUAUGCCUCAAUAAAAACAAAGAAUAACAAACAAAAAAAAAUAAGUAUGUAGGGGUUUAGAAAAAUACCCAAUAUGUAUGACACACUUUAGAGGUUUGCCUUGAUGUGACAGGUGGACUUACAUGUAAUGGCCUUUGGAGUGAAACAAAAAACCUAAAUUUAUUGAAAAAUGGGAUAGUGCGCAGGUAACUCUUUUCUUUUUUUUUUGUUAGUAAUGGGUUUCUGAGCGCAGGACUUAUUUUUGUGUAACUGGUUCACUAUUGACUUAUACAGUAUUAUUUUUAUUUCACUGGUUAUCCUAUAUUUUCACACACAGUGUGCUCUCUCACUAGUUUCGUUUUUGUAUAUAGUAGCCCAAUGUCAUUCUCUCCACACAUAGAUAGCUCCCCAUUCUCAUCCUCUCCUCAUGUAGAUAGUACCCUGUUCUCAUUCUCUCCUAAUAAAGAUGAUACCACAUUUCCAUACUCUCCAUUCGUGUCAUGACCUUACUUUGUUAGUCCACUUGAGGGCACUAGACAACAGUGGUAAACAAAUAAACAGAGGUACCAAUCCUGCAGCUCUCAUAAGAAAUUAUUGUGCAUGAAUCUCAUACACAAAGCAAGGGAGAUAAAAAGAUGAUAGAGUAGUAUACAUAUUAGUGGGGUUCUGGUUUUGGGAGGUUCCGUCUUUCCUAUAAAUACACUUUGUUUUUUUGUUUCUAUUAGGAGGUGUAUUAUUUAAGAUGGGGCAUCAGAGUGGUAUAUUCACCAGGUUGACCUUUAUUUUUUUGUUUUAAUCUUGCCUGUUGGCAUAAAUCACUUAAAGGACCACUAUAGUGCCAAGAAAACAUACUCGUUUUCCUGGCACUAUAGUGCCCUGAGGGUGCCCCCACCCUCAGGGUCCCCCUCCCGCCCGGCUCUGGAAGGGGGAAAGGUGUUAAAACUUACCUUUUUCCAGCGCUGGGCAGAGAGCUCUCCUCCUCCGAUCCUCCCUGUCGGCUGAAUGCACACGCGCGGCAAGAGCUGCGCACGCAUUCAGCCGGUCACACAGGAAAGCAUUAUCAAUGCUUUCCUAUGGACGCUUGCGUGCUCUUACUGUGAAAAUCACAGUGAGAAGCACGCAAGCGCCUCUAGUGGCUGUCAAUGAGACAGCCACUAGAGGAAAUAGGGAAGGUUUAACCCAUUCAUAAACAUAGCAGUUUCUCUGAAACUGCUAUGUUUAUGAAAAAAUGGGUUAACCCUAGCUGGACCUGGCACCCAGACCACUUCAUUAAGUGAAGUAGUCUGGGUGCCUAGAGUGGUCCUUUAACUAUAGCCAUGGCCAAUUCCUAGUGACAAAUAACGUGUAUUUCUCUUAACUUUCCUGUGAUUAACUAUUGUCUUGCAUCCACUUUUAAUCAGUUCUCUAAACUAUCCAUUCUAAUUUACAUUUAAAAGUUUUGUGUCUAUAUGAUAUAAAUACACACAUGAUAACUGAUACGUUUUUGGCCUUAGUUCCUAGAUUGUGGGAAAAUGUCAUGUCUUGACAUAAAAUACCAGUGAUUUAGAUAUAUUUUUAUUAGCAGUACUUUGUGAGUACAAAUGUCCAUAUUUUAAGUGGGAGAAAUCUGUAAAUUCUGGUGUCCAAUGCAUGCACUUUGGUAGAAUUUUGCUCAGAAUAUUCAUGUCUUUUGAGUGAGAAAUUUGUGGAAUUUUAUUCACCCCUGAAAUAUUGGAUUUAAUGUAGCUUUGUCAGUGUAACUCUAAGCGUGGUUGAUUGAGCUCAUCCCAAAACAUCCAUGAUGCAAGUGUCUGUUUCUGCAUACUUGCUGCCCAGUGCUACUUUUCCUUGAUAUUUUUGCUACUGUGAAAAAGUGUGGAUUGUGGAGUGAAGAAAAACAAUGGUCACAUUUUUCAUGGAUAUUGCAAGGUAUGGGGAAUCCAUCCAGAGCCAGAUUACUCAUUAUGUGGCCAACUAGGGCUCAGACUUAGACAGAGGCCCAGAGGGCUCCUUUUUGGGCCUGGAGCUCCAGGUCUGGUUGUGAGGGGGUCCUCCAUCAGCUGACAAAGAGAGCAAAAGAUGUCCUCGUGCCAUUGAAGGAGCUUUGUGGUCUGCACAUUAGGAUCUCCCUUGCAUUCUUCUGGCGCUUUUCAGUGAGUCAGAGUGCCACAGCCUGUGAGGGGUCGCUUGAAUAUAACAUUAGGAAUACAUGUUUGUAUUCCGAACACAGUGUUUAUUUAAGUUUUAAUAUGGUUGACAAGAUAACAAUGUACAUUGGGGAAUUAUGUUUUUAUUCUCUCAGAUUUUCUUCUUUCUUUCUAUUUUUUUUAUUUAUGCAGCUUGAUAGAUAAGAGUAAGCCUUUGAUGUAGAUUAUCUGAUUAUCUUAGUUACAUAGAAAUGUAGGAUGAAAAAAGCUCCAGUCCAUCUGUUGCCUUAGUUGAAAAUGUGUGCGUGCCAAUUAUUUAAGUAAUGUAAAAUAUGUCCAAGUGUGAUCAUGACUUAUUGUUUACAGGUUACCUGGCUCCCCGCAGUCUCCAGAGUGCUGGAAUAAUACCUUUCCUGGAAACUUUUCUUUGUGACACAGACACAAAAUGCAAAAACAAAUCCUACUCUCCAGAUCCAUACACCCCAAAAUCUGUCAGCAGGUACCAACUGAAAUAAAACAUUUGAAUGUUGAAACUGUAUAUGUGUCUAUAUCUUGUAAAAUAAUACUAAGAAACAUUAAGUUAAUUAUGUUUAAUGCAGCAGUGUCAUUUUUUUUCUUUCAGUUUUCAUGCCUUCUGUUUAUUAGUUAUUAUAUGCAACGACUGCUACUUGCUUUUAUUUAAAUGUAUGGUAGGCAAUAUUAGUAUAAAUACAAUGAGACCACACAAUAGCCACAGACAACAUUUAAUUACUUUUCAAUUACUUUUACUUUUUGGCAGUUGUGUUUAUGCAAAGCUGAAGGGGCUUACAACCAUAAUUUCAUAGCCGUAACCAUAUGACAAACUUUAACCUUUACAAGCCUUUAACUUUAUGAACCCACCAAAUAGCCAGUCAGUCUUAGAUGACCUGACCACCUUUUAUUUAAAACCAUUUACCACCAUAUCCUUCUUUUGAACUUGACCCUGACUUUUGCCCCAAUGCAUCAUAACACCAUGACAAUACAAUUAACCUCCCUGGCGGUCUGAUUAUCUCAGUAUUUUUUAAUGUUAAAGCAGUACAUUGUUUUUACAAUGUAUUGUGUGUAUUUUUAUACACCAGGGGCUCAUAGGUACAAGAUACGUGAUACUACAGUGUAAUCCUGAGCGUGGCUUGGGGUUACCGCUUUUGGUACUGUAAAUUAACCGCCAGGGAGGCUAAAAUUAAAGGGAGGGAGGGGUCUGUUCGCCCUGGUCCUGCUUCAGUUCACUCUGACCGGAUUAAACUUGUGCUGCUGCUUUUUAUACUCUCUCUGUUUUCCGCUCUUUUAUUGCUUGCAACCAUCAACCAAUCUCAGGCUAGCUCCAGUCCCCAGUGUCAUCAAUUCUGACCAGACACCUGUCUAACUGACCAACUGCCACAAAAUCUAAAACUUCUCUACAUUCCAAUCCAAGAAAAGGUAGAUUAACUCCUUCAUUGCCACCAUACAUAUGUGCCACAGUACUUAGUGCCUGUGACUUCCAUAUCUUAUUUUUUCUUCCUUGUGCUGGAUCUCAAUACCUGGCUGCCUCCAUUUCGAUCCCCUUUUUCCAUGAUGUCCCUCCUGUGGGAUUCUUUUGAAUGAUGGAUAGUUUGUGAAUUAGUUCUGCAAGUGAAACUGAACUUUGCUUGAAAUCUGCCCAUUGCCAAAGGUCACACUCCCUAUUAUAAGAAGCAGUCACGGUUUUUCUUAUGCACGCCUAAAACACAAGGGAAAUUGUUAAAAAACAAAGAGGAAUAUAGGGAUAAAAAUAAUCAUUUUAAAAAUUCCAUAAGCUCUCUUGAACAAAGAGUGUCAGCUGAUUGCUCUAUUGUAUUUUGUAAUGACCAAAUUCUGACAUUUAUUGGCAAUUCUUAUAUUUACUAAAGCCAAAUGCAGUCAGAAUCCAGAUGCAUUUGGUGUCCAGAUUAAAAUUGGAGUUUGAAAAUGAUCAUUUCAAGUACUAUUUGCCUCUAGUGCAAGUAGUUAAAUAACCCACAGCAAUGCAAGGCCAGCUGCCAUAUUGUAAAAGUAAAUAUGCAAAUUAAUAAUAAAAAUCCCUAUGUGGGUCAAUAAGAUCCCGAUAUUAGUAUCAUAUGUCUGCCACAUACAGUAUGUUUGCCACAUAUGUAACACAUAUUUAAACCUAGCAAUUGGGCAGCCAUUGACCAUCCCACCUCCUUGGUGAGACCUGGCAGCGUUCCUGCUGUUAUUGCCAGAUUUUCCUCCAUGCUCUCCUGUGCUAUCUGUGUGAGGAGAAGAGCCAGGCUGGGAAAUAGGAAGAUACAUCACUUCCUGCCCUCUCCUCUCCCACACUGCAGAGUUCUCCUGGUCUGUGAACAUUGUGAAGAUAAGGAGUAGCCUGGCAGAGACACCAGGCAUGCUCCUUGUAAAUAUUUUCAACAUUUCAACAUUCCUUAUGUACAUACUUCAACCCCCAUCACCCCCUGCACCCACCACAGCCCCUAUGUCUUCCUGCACCCAACCAUUAUGCCUUUAUGUGCCCACUGCUGCCCCAUGCACCCCUGUACCCACUACAGGCCCUAUGCCCCCUGCAUCCACUACAGCCCCCAUGCCCCACUGCACCCACUACAGCACCUAUGCCACAACACACCUACUUCAGCCCCUAUCUCCCUUGCAGCUGUUACAGCACCUAUAGCCCCAGGCACCUACUGCAGCCCCUAUCCCCCAUGCACAAACUGCAGCCAAUAUCUUACUUACAGACAUACUGCUGCCUCUAUAUGCCCCACAUACAGUAGAGCCACUAUUAUCUAUACAAAUACACACACUACAAACCCAGUAUCCCCAAACGCCCAUUACAGCAUCUAUCCCACACACAUUCAACCACCCCUAUCUAAAAACACCGCAACACAACGAGCCCUCACACACACAAUUAUUACAAUCACUCAUAUAGCAUCAACAUAUUCUGCAGCACUAUACAAUAGGUAAAACAAGACACAUUAUAAAUUCUAACACAGAUAGUUGUAGUAGCAAAAAACACUUUCACCAGGAGGGUGUCCUUGAUCUCCUCGAGCCCCGUGAGUUGUAAGUCCGUCCAUGUCAAUAAAAUAAAUUAGGCAACACUGGGGGGCAAAUAUGCUACCCUAAAAGGGACUAAAUGGCUGUCAUGGGCUACCAGCACCAGGGUAUGUAGUUGGCAGAACUUUACUUUCCCUGAUGCAACUUCUAUUUUGAAUCCAUGACUGCUGCAUUGUUUAAGCCUGCUGCUUCUGCGGCACAACGUGAAAAGUGAAGAGUGUCUGACAGCUCUCCUCUAGCUCCCUACUUUGAAUACAUCCCUAUACUCUCCCCUGCAGUCUCUGUUAAGCCUUCCAUUAAGCCCUCCCUUGCUCCAUGCUUUGAGUCCCUUCCUCCUUCCCUGCCGACAACUUUUCACUGCAGGCUCAUCCAGGAAGGAACUGACAUCCCUGCACCCCAGCCAGGUACAAAUUUGUCUGACACUCUGCACAUAGAAAUUGAACUAAACUGUUCAACAGUGACCUCAAAUAAUAAUAUUUUUACCUUUCGCUUUUUUAUAUAUUUUUUUAAAUUAAAAUAAUAGUAAAAGUAUUAAAAAAUACACAAAAAUAACAACAAAUUGGACACUAGGUGGCACUGUACAUAAUAACAACAACUGUAUGUUAUUAAUAGACUAUGGGUAUUACCACAAUAAUUGGGCAAAGUCCAAAAGGUUAGGGGCAGAGUUUACAGAGAGUGGUGGGAUCAAAUUCCAAGGGUGGAGCCUAGCACCCAGCCAUCUAAAAACUUCACCAACUGCCACUGAUCUGGGGCCUGAAUUACAAAAUUGACACAUUGUUAAAUACCAUGAACAAUGUCUGGAUUUUGCCGUUCAAACUGCCCUCAGCUUGAUGGUUUUGCCUCAAUUGUUAUGAGACCAUUCAGACUUUAGAGCAUAACUCUGUAAGGUGUGAUUGGUGAUUGGUGAGUGUAAAUUUUAACUUACAGGGCAAAACAUAGCUGACUGGAUAUUUUAUUUUUAAAUUCUGCUGCCGCAGAUAAUAGUGUAACUUGUUUGUGUAUUGUGAACGUUUGGAUUGUGUAAAGAUGUCAUGUGACUUAUGGUGUUGUGUUGAUAUUUAUAUUUAUGUAAGAAACUGAAUAAAAGAAUUUAUAAUGAAAAAAAAAAAAUUCUGCUGCUUUAACAAAAUUUCAUGUUGAACACCCAACAUUUUUUAUUUUGCUUAAAGGGACACCAUAGGCACUGUAUCUGCUUCAUCUCAUUAAACUGGUUAUAGUGUCUGGAGUCCUCUGGUACAAUCAUUUCUUUCAGCAUUAAACAGUUUUUAAAGUUUUUAUGUUUUAAUGCUAAACAAGAGUCCCCGGCAGUCCAUCCCCUAUGUGCUGCUUUGGCUAAUAAGGAAGUAUUAGCCUGAGCAGCAAUAGGCAGCUGUGAUUGGCUGAGAGUGUCAGCUGACUGCUUUUAGCCUGUCAGAGUUCCAACUGACGGUAUGAAUGGGUAUGACAACAAGGAAGUGUGUAAUCUCUUCCUUAGCUACACAUACUGAAGGGGCCGGACUGUGGGGGCCAGGGACUCUUAUUUUGUGGCAUACUGCACGGACAUGGUGCAACACUGAAUAGAGGGACAGUGCCAGGGCACUCCAGGCACUAUAACCAAUUCAAAGAGAUGAAAUGCUUAUAGUGACUACAGUGUCCCUUUAAUAACCUUAGAGUAAUAAUGCUAACAGCAGGUACAACACACAUCUUACUAUACCUCCACUCUUUAUGAAAGGUCUCCUUCAAUCCAGAAUCACACUCCUAUUCUCAAAUACAAAACAUAAAAAGAAGGUUAAAGUGGUAAUAAUAUAGGAAGUGAAUGUUCUUCUUUUGCACUUAUGGAUAACUGACAUGGUUUAAUCAUAUGAGCACAGGCACUUCUUGAUCUCAGGUGAAAUGUAACUUUCAACUUUUUUUUUUUAUCUGGUUGCUUUAGUUUCAGGAUACAAAAACGUUCCAUAGAUACUGGAGGACUUGGCUUAACCGAUUUACGGAUUAACAACUCAACAUCCUCA